GCUGGGCAUGGUGGUGCAUGCCUGUAAUCCCAGCUACUCAGGAGGCUGAGGCAGGAGAAUUGCUUGAACCCAGGAGUCGGAGGUUGCAGUGAGCUGAAAGUUGCAGUGAGCUGAGAUGGCGCCACUGCACUCCAGCCUGGUGACAGAGCAAGACUCUGUCUCAA
ensembl:misc_RNA Metazoa_SRP Metazoan signal recognition particle RNA